GACGAACGCUGGCGGCGUGCUUAACACAUGCAAGUCGAACGGAAAGGCCCUGCUUUUGUGGGGUGCUCGAGUGGCGAACGGGUGAGUAACACGUGAGUAACCUGCCCUUGACUUUGGGAUAACUUCAGGAAACUGGGGCUAUUACCGGAUAGGAGCUCCUGCUGCAUGGUGGGGGUUGGAAAGUUUCGGCGGUUGGGGAUGGACUCGCGGCUUAUCAGCUUGUUGGUGGGGUAGUGGCUUACCAAGGCUUUGACGGGUAGCCGGCCUGAGAGGGUGACCGGCCACAUUGGGACUGAGAUACGGCCCAGACUCCUACGGGAGGCAGCAGUGGGGAAUAUUGCACAAUGGGCGGGAGCCUGAUGCAGCAACGCCGCGUGCGGGAUGACGGCCUUCGGGUUGUAAACCGCUUUCGCCUGUGACGAAGCGUGAGUGACGGUAAUGGGUAAAGAAGCACCGGCUAACUACGUG
rnacentral:rRNA from 1 species